GUUUGAUCCUGGCUCAGGAUGAACGCUGGCGGGAUGCCUAACACAUGCAAGUCGAGCGGUAACACUUCGGGUGACGAGCGGCGAACGGCUGAGUAACACGUUGGUACUCACCCCAAACUCAGGGAUAAGCCUUGGAAACGAGGUCUAAUACCGGAUAUCUCAGCAAUGAGAAAGAUUUAUCGGUUUGGGAGAGGCCUGCGACGUAUCACGCUUGUUGGUAAGGUAAAAGCUUACCAAGGCUAUGACGCGUACCUGGUGUGAGAGCACGACCAGGCAGAGUGGGACUGAGACACGGCCCACACUCCUACGGGAGGCAGCAGUGAGGAAUUUUCCACAAUGGGCGAAAGCCUGAUGGAGCAAUCCCGCGUGCAGGAUGACACCUUUCGGGGCGUAAACUGCUUUUCUGAGGGAAGAAAUUUUGACGGUACCUCAGGAAUAAAGGGCGGCUAACUACGUGCCAGCAGCCGCGGUAAUACGUAGGCCCUAAGCGUUAUCCGGAAUCACUGGGCGUAAAGCGAUCGAAGGUGGACUAGUAAGUGAGGUGUUAAAUACCUGCGGCUCAACCGAGGUGCUGCACUUCAAACUGCUAGACUAGAGGGAUGCAGAGGAAACUGGAAUUUCUGUUGUAGGGGUAAAAUCCGUAGAUAACAGAAGGAACACCAAAAGCGAAGGCAGGUUUCUGGGCAUUUCCUGACACUGCACGAUCGAAAGCGUGGGGAGCGAAAGGGAUUAGAUACCCCUGUAGUCCACGCCGUAAACGAUGAAUACUCGGUGUAGGUGGGAAUCAAUCCCCAUCUGUGCCAAGCUAACGCGUUAAGUAUUCCGCCUGGGGAGUACGGUCGCAAGACUAAAACUCAAAGGAAUAGACGGGGAUCCACACAAGCGGUGGAGCAUCUGGUUUAAUUCGAUAAUAAGCGGGGAACCUUACCAGGACUUGACAUCCCGAGAACUCUCUAGAGAUAGAGAGGUGCCUUUCUAAGGAACUCGGUGACAGGUGCUGCAUGGUUGUCGUCAGCUCGUGCCUUGAGGUGUGCGGUUAAGUCCGUGAACGAGCGCAACCCUCGUCGUACGUUGCAUUUUUCGUGCGAGACUGCCCGUUUUACGCGGGAGGAAGGUGAGGAUGACGUCAAAUCAGCAUGGCCCUUAUGUCCUGGGCGACACAGGUGCUACAAUGGCCGGUACAAAGGGCAGCCAACCCGUAAGGGGGAGCCAAUCCCAAAAAACCGGUCUCAGUUCGGAUUGAGGUCUGCAACUCGACCUCAUGAAGCUGGAAUCGCUAGUAACCGUGAAUCAGCCACGUCACGGUGAAUAUGUUCCUGGAUCUUGUACUCACCGCCCGUCAAGUCACGAAAGGUAGGGGUGCCCAAAGUCGUGUUAUUCUUUCGGGAAGCAUGCCUAAGGCAAAACUACUGAUUGGGACUAA
rnacentral:rRNA from 1 species